CCUACGGGUGGCAGCAGUGGGGAAUAUUGCACAAUGGGGGAAACCCUGAUGCAGCGACGCCGCGUGAGUGAAGAAGUAUUUCGGUACGUAAAGCUCUAUCAGCAGGGAAGAAAAACCGGCCAUAGGGCUGCCAGACGGUACCUGACUAAGAAGCACCGGCCAAAGACGGGCCAGCAGCCGCGGUAAUACGUAGGGGGCAAGCGUUAUCCGGAUUUACUGGGUGUAAAGGGAGCGUAGACGGCAGGGCAAGCAUGAAGUGAAAUGCCGGGGCCCAACCCCGGAACUGCGUUGGAAACUGUGGGGCUGGAGUGCAGGAGAGGUAAGCGGAAUUCCUAGUGUAGCGGUGAAAUGCGUAGAUAUUAGGAGGAACACCAGUGGCGAAGGCGGCUUACUGGACUGUAACUGACGUUGAGGCUCGAAAGCGUGGGGAGCAAACAGGAUUAGAUACCCUGGUAGUC
rnacentral:rRNA from 1 species